UUCACCUCCCGGAUUCAAGCGAUUCUCAUGCCUCAGCCUCCCCAGCGGCUGGGACUACAGGCGGGCGCCACCAUUUCCUGUUACCUGUUACGUGUUUAAAAGAGGCUAUGAACUUCAUGUGGAAUUCCUGCUACCCUGCCCCCCAUACCACUGCAAACUAAACAAACAAAAAAAUAAUAUUUAAAAAGAUUGAGCCCAGUGGGCUUAUCAGGGGUUUUACUAUUUCAUUGUGAAGCAUCAGCGCUUUCCUAGUUGUUCAGCUAUUCACCAGGACAAAGCCAUGAGAAGGGAAAACGGGAUUCCCAGACAGAAUGCUGACUCAGAAGACUGCCUUAGAAGGAAGAAAACUCUCCCAGAGUUAAGGCCUGUUGGGUUUAAUAUGACAGUUCCUAAAAUAUGCAGAAAAUGCAUAAAAUGUACAGGCUUCCUCUUAGGGAUAAAGGCAACUCCUGACCUCUCUUCCUCUUGGAACUGUUCUUCCACCUACCACAAGAGAACAGCUCGGGAUGAUUUUUAAGGGGGCGCGUCUUGCCUCACUGCCAUCUAGUGAGGGCAUUUAAGUGUUCACACACUCUGGAAUCACAAAACUGUCCUGCGGAAUUCAUUAUGGCAUUUCACGGUUGUCUGCUGGAUGCCUUCUAGCAUUAAAAGUUGGCUGCCUGGGUACUGCUGACUAUAAGGACAGAAAUAAAAGUGAGGUCAUUCCUUUAUUCAUUAAACAAAUAUUUAUUGAAUGUCUAAUACAUGUUAGGCAUUGUUCCAGGGAAGGGAAGGCAGAGUUGAUCAAAAGAGACCCUGUUCCUGUCUCAUGAAGCUUACAUUCUAUUGAUGGGAGGGGGAAAAUAUUAUAGACAUAUAUAAUAUGGGGAGAGCAAAAAAAGUUAAACACAAAAAAACAUACAUAAUGUAUCCAGUGGUGACAAGUAUUAUAGAGAAAAAUUAAACAGCAGGUUAGCGCAUAUGGGGGGUGCUGGGGGUUGGUGUGUUAGUUUCCGUUUUACAGAGGGUGGUCACAGAAGGCCUCUUUGAUAAAAUGGUAUUUUGAAUAGAGCCUUGAAGGAAAUGAGGGAGCAAGUUAUGUGGAUAUCUGGGAGAAGAGUAUUCCAGGAGAGCGGACAGAGUUCUGGCUAUUUUAAAAUAUAAGGUAGCCAUUAAGAGCUCUUUUGUCUUUUUUUUUUUAAGUUUUGUGGAAAUAAAGAUUAUUUCAAGUGAGCUGAGUACAGAGAUACAUUUACUAUCAUAAGAGCAGCUAGAAACAUUCCUGUCUUCUAAAGCUAUGUUGAAAGGGUCAUCCCCUCCCGGACUCAGGCUGGCUAGGGCCACCGAGUGGGGCCUUGCUGAUGGUUAGUGCUUAAAAGGACCACCAGGACACUGCAGGUCUAGGUGGGCCAUCUUACAAAUAUUUGCUGAAGGAUACAAGGAAAUAUAAGCAAGAAAACAAAGAUCAAACAGUGCCCAUGGCACUGCUUCACUACCAAAAAAAACAAACCCAAAGUACUUCAUUAUAUUAAAACUUAAGAAACACAGUAAUUAUUUCAAUUAACCAGAAAACUGGACUUCACCUCAAGAGGUGAAAUUGGAGGCACAGGUUUUUCUCUCUGUCUUUUCUUUAUCUUGAUGAUCUAAUUUCAAACAGUACCUGCUCAUUCUCACCCAGGAAAUCUGGUGUUUGGGGUCUGAAGCUGACCUGGAGUAAAGUGCUUCUGGCCUAGAUAACAGAAAGGCUCAGCAGCAGAUACUUCUAUAUAAAUAGGCAAGCUAUAGAAACUUAAUAGAAAAAUUGGUUACCCCAAAUUCCUAUGUUUCAUAUUUUUUAUGACUUCACAACCAACGUUCAUAUUUCAUACACUACUGUGAAAAAAACUAAAAAUUACUAUUCAACUUGGGAAAGGCAAAAACUAAAUAAGGUGAUAAGAAGUUUGUGGCCAAAUGGGGACAUGAAUAUGAAGAAUUCAUUGCCUUCUCUAAGUUAUUUUUUUAACAUCAUUCUAAACAUUGAGGGGGAAACCACAAAUUAAAAACUCACUUCAUGUUCUGCUUCUGUGCUUAAAAAAAAAAAAAAAGGCAAUAACAAAUGUAAGAGGAAAAAAUAAAUAAUAAGAUUUAAAAGAAUAUAAGAGAAAAUAAAAAACAAAAAAACGAAACUCACUUCACAGAGCCUUUUAUCUUAUAUUCUAUUGAGAAGAACAGGGCGGGGCUCCAAGAGGAAGAAAGAAUGUUUUAGAUACUUCAUUAUCUAGGCAAUAAAGUCUCCAUUUCCCAAAACACCCUGAGUUGAGGGGGAAGUAGGAGAUCCACAGACUAUAAUUAGAUCAGAGUGGAAGAUAUAUUUAAUUUUUGUUUGGUUUUGUGGGUAAGGCGGGAAAUAUCAAUGCUAAAAUGAAUGUGAGUUGUUGUGUGGACACACAUUAUCCCUAAUCCUUCCCAGCUGGCCACAAAGGUUAAAAGUUGGCCACAUUCUGAUUCACCUCACUUUUCAUUCAUUCUGUGGUCCAAGAGGGCAAGCUAUUUACUGAUCUGAAUGUUUACUGAUCUAGACAUUUUAAGUAGGGUUAACCUGAGGCCAGUGCAUGGUGGGGUUUCAUCCAAUCCACUGUCAGUAUGGAGAUACUAACUUGCUCAAGCAUAGGAACAGAUCAACAACUCCCUCUCAAUAGAUUUCAGGAAGGAACCACCAUCACGACCACCACCAAGAACAACAUUGAAAAAGAUUACUGAUUGGUAUCUGUCACUGUCUCACUGACCCAAAUGUCCUCUGUCAAUCCAUUGACCUUUAUAGAAAAUAUGUGUGUGUGUGUAUUUGUGUGUAUGUGUGUGUUUGUGGUGCAUGCUUACACAGGAUUUGAUCUUCUCCAACAUCUGUUGAUGACGAAGGAAACAUAUCAAUCAGUUACUAUUCAUUGAGUACUGAUCAAUUUACCCAGUUCUCUCCAAAGGCUCCUUCCAUAGUAAUUGAUUAAUUAUUCUCCAGUAAAUGGCAUGCCUGUCUAAUUAGCUGUAUUGACUAGGACAGAAAAACCAGAUGGCUCGCUAGCCUGGAUCAGUAACAUCACAGAGACUGCUAUUUAAAUUUAAAUCAAACAUAGUUCUUAUUUUCCCCUGACCUUCUGUCAGAAGGGGAAAAACAAUGUGAUUGAAAACUCUGUGAUAUGCUCUCUAGAUGACUAUUUCCAGAAAAAGGUUUGCUAAUUGGCAUAUAAUAUACCUUUGAUCAUACCAUUUAUAACCAGUGCUUGCCACAAAUACAAAGCAAUCAGAGCAAAUUUUCUUUGGAAACGGGCAAAGCCAUAGAUUUAUUUUAUUUGUGGUAAGAGAAAUUUUAUUGCCUCCCAAUAAAAGCAUACAAAUAUGCAUACCCAUAAGCUUAACACUAUUUUUGCAUGUGAAGUUACAUUAUUCUUGCUGCUUUGAGCCAUUUGCCAUUUCAGCUCCAUUAGGCUUCUGGAAUCUUUCAGUUUAUUAAAAUAACCAACCUUUAUGGGUUCUGUGUAGAAAAAAUUCUAUUAAUAAAGGAAUAUUCCAUAAAGGCAGCCAAUAACAGUCAAAUAAUCAACAGAAAAGGAAAAAAAUGCUGUAAAUUACCAACAGGUGGUUAUAACAAAGUGACCAGAAAUAUGAAUCUUUAUUUGGCCAACCAUUUUGGAAACCUGAGCAAGAUGAGGGGCCAUUAACCAUUAGCCCCCUUCCAUGGGCUUCAGGUUUUUUAUGUGAGGACUGGGGAGUGAGGAGAUGGUAGCACUCACUUCAGUCCAUAUAUGAGUAUUUAUACUCUUCAUUCAAGAAAAGGUGUCCCAGCAUUCUGAGGAAGUAACAUUAUUUUCUUUUUUCUCCAAAGCUUGAAGAUACCUCAAAAAGAGGCAAAGCUCUUCUACUAAAAGUAAAAUCUCUAAGGAGGAUGAGACAGGUUAUACUCUGUUCCUCUUCAUUAACAUCUACCAAGGAUUUCCUAGUGGGGCCCAGACUCUUAGCCAGGAGCCAUGCAUUAAAGAACUGCCAUGUCCUGUCACCAGAUCACAUCAAUUCCACUUGUUCCUAAGAAGAAUCCAGGUCACCUUGUGUUCCUGAACGAUUAUAAACCAGACCAUACCUAGCAGGCCUCACAUACUCCAAAACCUUUUAAGCUUCUAAGUUCUAAAGUUGCAUCAGUAAACGGACUAAAAGACAACAUAACCCAAAGGUAAAAUCUUAAUCCAGGAUUGAUAAUACCUGAGCCUCUAGGUUUCAAGAGUUCCAUAAACACUUUAUUAUUAUAUGGAAAACAAUGUAGAUGCGUACAUUUUUCAGAGAUGACUGUUUAUAGUUUUUAGAGUUUCAAAAAGGUACAGGAUUCAAAAAGAGUUAUAAACGGCUGAUUUAAUAAAGUUGUAUUCUGGAACUGAGUAGCUGUACUGUGUAGCACCAUGGUCUAGACACUACUUGGACAGCAUAUCUCACCUGCCGAUGAAACUCCUACGCAAGAAGAUCCAGAAGCGGAACUUCAAAUUGCGGCAGCGGAACCUAAGGUUUCAGGGGGCCUCAAAUCUGACCCUGUCAGAAACUCAAAUUAGAGAUGUGUCUGAAGAAACAAUGGGAGGUGGAAAGGUUAAAAAAUCAAAACAUUCUAUGAACGUGGGCUUAUCAGAUGCUCAAAAUGGAGACGUGUCUCAAGAAGCAGUGGAAAAUAUAAAAUUUAAAACAUCUCCCCUGAAAUCCACUGUAUUAACCAAUGGAGAAGCAGCAAUGCAGUCUCCUAAUUCAGAAUCAAAAAAGAAAAAGAGAAAAAUGGUGAAUAAUGCUGGACCGGAUACAAAAAAAGCAAAAACUGAAAACAAAGGGGAAUCUGAAGAAGAAAGUGCCAAGACUCCUAAAGAAACAGAAAAUAAUGUGGAGAAGCCAGAUAAUGAUGAAGAUGACAGUGAGGUGCCCAGUCUGCCCCUGGGACUGACAGGAGCUUUUGAGGAUACUUCAUUUGCUUCUCUAUGUAAUCUUGUCAAUGAAAAUACUCUGAAGGCAAUAAAAGAAAUGGGUUUUACAAACAUGACUGAAAUUCAGCAUAAAAGUAUCAGACCACUUCUGGAAGGCAUGGAUCUUCUUGCAGCUACAAAAACCGUCAGUGGUAAACCCCCGGCUUUUCUCAUCCCUGCAGCUGAACUCAUUGUUAAAUUUAAGUUCAUGCCCAGGAAUGGAACGGGGGUCCUUAUUCUCUCAUCUACUAGAGAACUAGCCAUGCCAACUUUUGGUGUUCUUAAGGAGCUAAUGACUCACCACGUGCAUACCUAUGGGCUGAUAAUGGGUGGCAGUAACAGACCUGCUGAAGCAUAGAAACUUGCUAACGGGAUCAACAUCCUUGUGGUCACACCAGGCCAUCUGCUGGACCAUAUGCAGAAUAUCCCAGGGUUUAUGUAUAAAAAUCUGAAGUGUCUGGUCAUCGAUGAAGCUGAUCGUAUCUUGGAUGUUGAGUUUGAAGAGGAAUUAAAGCAAAUUAUUAAACUUUUGCCAACACGUAGACAGACGAUGCUUAUUUCUGCCACCCAAACUCAAAAAGUUGAAUGCCUGGCAAGGAUUUCUCUGAAAAAGAAGCCAUUGUAUGUUGGUGUUGAUAACACAGCUAAUGCAACAGUGGAUGGUCUUGAGCAGGGAUAUGUUGUUUGUCCUUCUGAAAAGAGAUUCCUUCUGCUCUUUACAUUCCUUAAGAAGAACCAAAAAAAAUAAGCUGAUGGCCUUCUUUUCAUCUUGUAUGUCCGUGAAAUACCACUAUGAGUUGCUGAACUACAUUGAUUUGCCCAUCUUGGCCAUUCAUGGAAAGCAAAAGCAAAAUAAGCAUACAACCACAUUCUUCCAGUUCUGCAAUGCAGAUUCAGGAACACUAUUGUGUACAGAUGUGACAGCAAGAGGACUGGACAUUACUGAAGUCAACUGGAUUGUUCAGUAUGACCCUCUGGAUGACCCUAAGGAAUAAUAUUCACCAUGUGGGUAGAACAGCCAGAGGCCUAAAUGGGAGAGGGCAUGCCUUGCUCAUUUUGCACCCAGAAGAAUUGGGUUUUCUUCACUACUUGAAACAAUCCAAGGUUCCGUCAAGUGAAUUUGACUUUUCCUGGUCUAAAAUUUCUGACAUUCAGUCUCAGCUUGAAAAGAACUACUUUCUUCACAAGUCAGCCCAGGAAACAUAAAAAUCAUACAUACAAGCCUAUGAUUCCCAUUCUCUGAAACAGAUCUUUAAUGUUAAUAACUUCAAUUUGCCUCAAGUUACUCUAUCAUUUGGUUUCAAGGUGCCUCCCUUUGCUGAUCUGAAUGUCAACAGCAAUGAAGGCGAGCAGAAAAAGCGAGUAGGCAGUGGUGGAUUUGGCUACCAGAAAACCAAGAAAGUUGAGAAGUCCAAAAUCUUUAAACACAUUAGCAAGAAAGUAUCCAACAGUAGGCAGUUCUCCCACUGAAGAUAUGCCUUUCUUUCAUCUUGAAUAACUUUGUCCUAAAAUGAUUCUUUUCCCCCCUUGAUUUAAUAGGAUUUUUGUAGCCUUUAGAAUUUGGACUCAUCUAACAAGAGUAUAAAUUGACUUUGGUUGCAAGCACUGAGCACUGUUACUUCUAUCAAGUUUCUCUUUUAUUUUUGGGAUAUAAAACAGGCUUUAAUUUUCUUGGUUGCCCAAGGGCAGAGUAAGGAAUAUCUGGUCUUUCUUGUGACGAUAUAACAUUUUAAUUUUAAAUAUCCCUCCCUCAUGCACACAAAUGUAUGUUACUGUUUUAAUUAUUUUUGCACCUUUUAAAAAAAAGUUAUAUUCCCUCUACCUUCUCUUUACAAAACAGAAAGUCUGUCCUCUUCCUCAAAAAAGUUUCCUAAAACAUUCACUCUCUAAACAAGACAUACAAGGAAUUCUUCUGCCACAUUCUGUGUUCAGUUCUUCCUCACCAGAUCAUAUCAUUGCUUGAUCUCUAUAACACAGCGGGCAGCAUGCCUAUGAGCAAGAGGGUACAGUCAAAAACAAGAAACUGAGUCUAGUCCUGGUUUUGCUAACAAUUCAAUUUGCCGUUUCACACUACUGUCGGCCUCAGUUUCAUGUGAGGAUAAAACCUGUCCAAUUGCACCCAAAGGUUGCUGGGAGCAUUCAAAUAUAAUAGUGGGCCGGGUGUUGUGGUUCAUGCCUAUAGUCCCAGCACUUUGGGAGGCUGAGACGGGUGGAUCACUUGAGGUCAGGAGUUCGA